rnacentral:lncRNA from 1 species
AUGGAUCCCCUCUAUCGUCCCGAAUUCCUCAUCCUCCUGCUGAAGCAGGAAGGACGUUCUCUCGAGGACCAUACCAGACAGUUUCUCCUAUUAGCUAAUGCCACCAGCAACCCGGACGGCGCGCUCUGCACCUUCUACAACACCAGCCUGAACUCCAAAUGCAGAGCGUUGUCGUCCGAAGAUGGUCCUCGAGAGGAUUUCGCCGCAUUCGUGGAGUGGACUCUGGCGAGAAAUGGCUCAUCUGUCACCAUCUGCCCCAUAGAGGAUCUCGCCAGUCCCACUCCCGACCCAGAGACCAGCCAGCCACCAUCACGCCGCACGGAGCCAGAGCCCACCGCAGCCGCAGAGCCCGAGCCAUCCACUGACAGGGAGCCGGAUCUCGAGAGCGCGACUGACCAGGUGUGUGAGCCGGCAACACCGUGCAUCGUGGGAGUCCUCGUGGAGAUCGAGGGCGUGGAGGAAAGCCCUGCCCACACUCCUGCGACUGAGGGUGAGCUGUAUACAGUCUCUGAAGAUCAUAUGGAGCAAGCUCUGGAUCUGAUCGACUGGUCUACGGAGGUAAUCCCUAAUAUUCCUGUUUCCCCGCUGGUUCCGUCCAGCCCUGAUUCCCCUGUAUACCCUCUCAGUCUCCCACUCCUACCUCCUCCAGUCAUUUCCUCUGCUCCAUUUCCGCUGGUUCUGCCCAGCCCUGAGUUUUCUGUUUCUUCGCUGGUUACGCCCAGCCCUGAGUUUUCUGUUUCUCCGCUGGUUACGCCCAGCCCUGAGUUUUCUGUUUCUCCGCUGGUUACGCCCAGCCCUGAGUUUUCUGUUUCUCCGCUGGUUACGCCCAGUCCUGAAUCUUCUGUGUCUCCGCUGGUUCCGCCCAGCUCUGAAUCUUCUGUGUCUCCGCUGGUUCCACCCAGCCCUGAGUUUUCUGUGUCUCCGCUGGUUCCGCCCAGCUCUGAAUCUUCUGUGUCUCCGCUGGUUCCGCCCAGCUCUGAAUCUUCUGUGUCUCCGCUGGUUCCACCCAGCUCUGAAUCUUCUGUGUCUCCGCUGGUUCCGCCCAGCUCUGAAUCUUCUGUGUCUCCGCUGGUUCCGCCCAGCUCUGAAUUUUCUGUGUCUCCGCUGGUUCCGCCCAGCCAUGAUUUUUCUGUUUCACCACUGGUUCCGCCCAGCCCUGAACCUUCUGUGUCUCCUGUAUUCCCUCCCAGCCUCCCUCUCCCGCCUCCUCCCAAACCUGCUGGUCCCUCUACUCCUUCGCUGGUUCCAUCCAGUCCUGAUCCUCCUGUCCUUCCUCCCAUCCUUCUCCUCUCUCCUCCUCCUAGACCAGCCAGUUCCUCGCCAUCCCUGCUGGUGCCAGUCAGUCCCGCAGCUCACCCUCAGUCCGCGCCAUCGGGGCGCGGUGGUUCGCCGCUGGACUGCCAGUCUCCAGCUCCGCCUUGGCGUGUUAAAGCCCUGUCUCCGCCUCCAGCCUCCGAGCCCUGGACUCCUCCUCGGUCCUUCGACCCAGCGGCUCCGCCUUGGCUCUUAGCUCCCUCGUCUCCACCGUGGCCUGUCAUCCCACCUGCUCCACCGGGCUCCCUCGUCCCUCCGGCUCCACCUUGGUCAGUCGUCGACCAUCCGCCGCCUCGGGACUCCACUCCUCUGGUUCCACCUCGUCACUCCAUCCCUCCGGCUCUGUCAGGCUCCUCCUUCCCUCCGGUUCCACCUCCAUCCUCGGUCGCUCCGGCUCCACAUCGGUCUGCCAGGACCCCGCCUCCGCCUUGGUCGCCUGAGCCUUCUGCUCCACCUAGGCCCUCCGGAACCUCGACGUCCCCCUGGCUCUGCGGCUGUGCUGCUCCAUCUUGGGCUCCUCACCCACCGGUGCAGUCUCCGCCUGUCGGCCCCCUGGUGUCGUCGACCCUUCCUUCUCCAUGGCUCCUCCCGCCGUCGACUCCACCUUGGAACAUGGUGGAUGAUGUCUUGAACGCAUUCAACGCCUAUAUUAAGUACUCUUCUGGCGCUCCUUAA